AUAUAUAUAUAUAUAAUCACACACUCGAUAAAAGACAUACGUGCCCUCCUUGCACCCCGUCUCACCGUCUGUUGGUAGCCGUACCGAGGGGUGCUCUCACUCAGUUGCGGUCGAGGUGGUUCGCGCCAUACGCGCAGCACCUAAAGAGCGGACUUCCAGAACACGAAUAGCGUUGUCUGUGGGUACCACUACUUCCCCCCCUCUCGCUCUCGCUCGUGUCAGAGGCGAGGUGCUUCGCUCUUAUCACACCAUCUGCCCGUCUAAGGUUGUCGAGAGAGGCCUCUGGUGCGGUCUUCCCUCCCCCUGCCCGCUGUGUCUGAGUCGGAGGACAUAUCCGAGCUGAGUGGAAGGGUGGAGGGCAAGUUGGUGGCUGGCCACUCGGCACGUGCAGCAGAGAUUGGCACGCAGAUCCCUUUCCGCAGUGAAGCAGAGGCAAGCAAACGCGCGUGCACGCAUACGGUGGCGCAUACAUCGCCCUCGCUCUCCGGCUCAAAUCACCCUUGCUUUCUUCGCUGGGCGUAUCUGUUCGUGCUGCCUUUCCAGCUGCUGCUGUCUCUGCGUUUGGAGAUCGAACGACGCUUCAUUCACGCCUUAGGCAGCGCAGCAAUCAUUCUCUUCGCUGCUUGUCAGGGUUGCAGGUAGGGAGAAGGUACGAAAAGAAAACAACGCUGAACGGUCACUCACAGACAGUCGUUCAGUGUGGAGGCUACAGCGAAGAACUCAGCCACAAGAGCGAAGGGAAAAGCGUGUAUUAUCGUCAUGAGUGAAGGGGGCAAUCGAAAUCAAGGUGGGGGAGGCAGCAGCGGCAACCGUAGCGCUGCUGGUGCCUUUAGCCCAUACAGCGAGGAAGUACCAGUGGAAUGCCUCAUCUGUGCUGACCCGUGCCGCGCGCUGUGCGUGUUCCCAUGCGGGCACUACACAUGCUACAGCUGUGGCCUCCGCAUUCACAGCUUGAACAGGGGUAGCUGCCCGGUUUGCCGUAAGGAGGCGACACAGAUGCCGAUCAUUACGCAGCAGGUGAGUCGCGAGGAGGAGCAGUUCUCGGCCAAGGAGAUGGAGAGUAUGCGGCGGGUCGUCACGACGAAUCGCCACCUGCGCUGCGUCAUCGACUCGCCGCAGCUUGCGUACGAGGUGGCAAAGCUGUACGAGUACACGUGCCCCAUCGAGAGCUGCUGGUGCCAGGGGUACCAAGAUCCGUUUCUCGAAAUGAACAUGCUGAAGGAUCAUUUGUGGGUUGAUCAUGAGCUUGUGUAUUGCGACGUGUGCCUCCAACACAGGCCCGCCUUCUUGUGCGAGCAGGCGGCCUACUCUAUCACCGCACUGCAGUACCACAUGGAGGGGCGGUGCCGGCACGACCGGUCGUCGUUUACAGGCCACCCACCGUGCCGCUUCUGCAAGCGUGCCAAUCGCUUCUACGAUGGCGAGUCACUGCUAAAGCACAUGCAGCAGCAGCACUACACGUGUGAUGUGUGCAAUCGAGGUCAAUUUACCUUCACUUUUUACGCCAGCCGGCAGAAGCUUGAUCAGCACUUUCAGACGUGCCACAAGAUAUGCGACCAUCCCGACUGCGCAUCGCAUGAUUUGAUGAUGCGUGUGUUUGGCAACGAGAUUGAUCUGAUGGUGCAUAAACAGCGCGUCCAUGGCGUAAAGGCAAAGGUGACGUUCUCGCCUGCCAUGUUCGGCGAGGCAUCCGGCUCCUCAGUGGGCAACGGCCCGACCGGCUCCGUGCCGGCGACGGCGUCGAACGCAAACGUGAUCCAGAUUACGUUCGACCAUGUGUUCCGCGUGGAGACGGUGGAGAUGAUGCCGACCAAGGAGAACAAUCACCGUGGUGGUCGCCGUGGAGGCGGUGGUGGUGACCGCGGCGUAGAUAGGGUACACGCCCCGGAGGAGAACGGUAUCCCGUUGUACUACUUAGGCAGCGGCGCCUUUCCGGUCCUCACCCGCUCUGUCGCGAGCGACGCCGGCGCAGCGUCCUCCUCGGCCCGUGCGGGUGGGGCGCGGAGUAGCAACAGGAGCAGCGCUCCCUCCUCCUCUGCCUUCGCCGUCGCUGAGGAUAUGAGCAACUACAACGUCAAGAACAAACUCCCGGCAGAUAAGAAGCAGCUUGAGCAGCGGCUGAACGACAUGCUGAGCAAACACGUGAAAUCGCCGGUCACCUACGCACACUUCCGCAGCUACACUCGUGACUUCAUCGAAUCAGCGAUGCUGACCUCUGAGUACUACGACGUGCUGGCGAAGGAGUGCUUCCCUGACCCGCAGGUGUUCCAUGAAGUAUUCCCGUUGAUCGUGGCAACCGUGCCAGUAGCGGCGAAGCAGGCAGCCUUGCAGGAGGUGUAUAAGAUGCGCAUGGCCCCCGAGACGCAGCGCCUUGCCCGCGCCCGCGAGGAGGACGCGCGGAAAGAGGCGGAGGCGAAGGCGGCUGCGGCGCGUGCGGAGGAGAUGCAGAGCUGCAAAGCUGGAAAGAGCACCGGCAGCAAUAACGGCGCCAACAACAGUACACCUGCUGGCGCGCCGUCUCCCUUUGCCCGCAAGAACGCCAAAGGCAAGGGAGCCAAGCAGAAUGCAUGGCUGACGACGGACACGCGGUCCAAGUUUGGCUGCAGCAGCUCCGCGCCGGCCCAACACCAGGACCCCUCUGCCAGCGCCCCCGCCACUGCUCCAACGUCGUCGGCGCCGCCGGCAGCGGCGUCCCUGAAGCCGCAGUCCAACAACCGCCCGCGCGGGUGGGGGCCUGUGGCGACCGCCUCAUCAGGCACGUUUGUCACCACGCCGGCUGCCGUCUCGGCGCCGGUGUCUAGCCCACCGCAUGUAGGGCCUGGACUGGUCAUCAAUGAAGAGACGUUCCCGUCCUUGCCGAACAACGGUAUUCGCCGUGAGCCCAUCGGCAAGGCGCAGCGACCAAAGGCAAACGCGUGGUUUAAACGGUAAGAGAGGGCGACCCACCUCCUCCAGAGUCGCUCCGGCCACUCCGCACGCGCCGCAUUAACAGUCCACCUAAGCUUUUUGUUCUCCCGCAUGUCGGUUCUCCGCCAUACAACGCGACUCAAGCUCUGCUCUAAACCCACCAGGCCCUGCCACAGGCCCCCCAUCCGCGUCGUGCGAAGCAGCGCGAGAGACACGCCCGGUACACCAAAUGCGCCGACUCAGUCACCUGAGACGACCGCCCCCUGCCCCAAACUCUGCCCGCCCACACGCGGCCUUUCAGGUCGCUCCGCCGCAGCACCGUCCAGGGCCCCACCGCCGGCAUCAGCAGCGAUGAGCCGCUCUGUCCUCCCCAUGGCGUACGGGUGCCUGAUUCAGCCUCCACCAGAGGCGGCUCGGCAUUGGGCAGGGGCAUAGGGGAGCUGCUCGGCGUCGCCCCGCAAUGGUGGGUCGUGCGGGACCCUGACGAUGCGACGCACUGAGCGGUGUGUGGCACCCGUCAUCAGGGACUACAUGCGCUCUCACGAGACGGCAAGGGAGAGUCUCUUUGGGUGAACAGGACCAGAGCAAGCGAGAGAGCCAUUUGUCUCUAGCUGCUAUAGCCUUGCCCCGCACUGCGCUGCUCAGCUUUCAACGCGCCCUGGUGCGUUCCGCUGUAGCGAUUACAGUGCCAUGAAAGUGUCGCAUCGCUGCCCCUUCUGCCCCCCCCCCCCUCUACGUGAAAGGCCCCUCCUUCUGUCGACUUCUUCGAUGUCAAGACAUAUAUAUAUAUAUUAUAUAUAUAUAUAUAUAUAUAUGUAUAUAUUUCAUCCGAGGGGCCUCUGAGGGGCGUUUGUAUGCGUGCGGCGCUGAGUUAGCCGUGGUCUGCUUGCCCGUGUAACCCCCGCUGCGUGUGUGCCUGUAUGUGUGCAUGUAUCUGCGUGGUCUGGUGGGAGCUCGUCGUUAGCGGUGUGUGUGCUUGUGCAUGCGAUUGUCGCUGUCCCUCCGUGUCUCUUGUUUUUGAAGAAAUCGCAAACGACCGCUCUCUCUCCCGGCGACUGUGUUCGCAUGUCCGCCUGUGCGCAUGCGUGUGCGGGGGCCGCUGCCUUCGACAGCAGCGACUGAGGCGCGGCUGUGGGGAUGAUGAAGGUGCAGCCACACCGCAAAAAAAAAAGAACGCAAAACAAAAUACGCG
rnacentral:misc_RNA from 1 species